rnacentral:lncRNA from 7 species
AGCUCAGCAAAAAGUGGGGAUGGAAGCUUAAGAAAGCUUAAUCAGAGCUUCAUCAAUGAAAAAGGACUGGGAUAAUCUCUAAAGGAUAAUAUAGAGAAAAGAAAGCAUGGACUGUAACACAGCAAGGUAGACUUGGUCUGAGUUCUGACAUCUUGACAAAGAAAGCAGAAUGACUCUAAGUAUGUUCAAGUAUAUUUUAGUGCCUUUGUGAGUGCGUCUUGCAGCUGAGAUACAUUGUUUCUAGUCAAACAUGAGGAUUAGUCUCUAGAUUUUCUAUAGACCUCCUUUUCAUGCAUGCUUUCACCAAGUCUGUUUCCAAGACUUUUUUUUUUAACUGAGAGGUUUGGUGCCUUGAGGAACUGUCAUAAGAUGGAUAUAGUUGUUUUUCAUGUAUUACUAAUCUUGCUACAUUAGAAAUACCCAAAUAUAAUUUUUAAACAUUUUGAACCAAAAAAUAGGCAAAGCUCAGUGUAAAACUUUCAGAUGUCAACUUUGCACCAAAUUUUUUGCCUCUUGUGGAUGUACUCUGGAUCUUGAUGUGAUUGCUUAUGUUUUAUAGGAGUAUAUGUUGAUUACAUACUACCUUUUGUAAUGAAUUUUCUUCUAAGAUCUUAAAAAAAAAAAAUUACAUUAGAAUUGGGUUGUACAAAUCUUGCUCUUUUCCAUAACACUGCAAAAACAAUUUGAUUGUAUAAAUGUUGUAGUUUACUAUUUUCUAGUUUCUAUUAGAUGUCUUGUAUCUUGAGGUUGUCCUUUAAUGUCUGCUUCUUCUUCCCCUGUACCCAGCCAACCUUCAUAUGUACUUCUUACAGCUACUUUUCAGUCCUCAUGUUAAUUCAUAUUUACAUGUUGAAGUUGGCUAACCUUUUCCAUUUGCUAACUUGCUAACCAUCCAGCAGCUCUCAUUGGAUUCUGAGUAAUCAAGUCUUCAAAAAGAUCAGUUUACAUCUCUUACAUCCUGUGAAUAUAGAUUUAAGAAGUUGAAUUCUGAAAACCUUCACAAACACAUACAUUGAAGGUUUUGAGACAGAAAAAGGUUUUCCAAAAGCAUCUGUUUUCUGGGUUGUUUUCAAGAGGUCCUCUCCUGACCCAACACUCUGUUCAUGUAUGCUUCAGUUACUGCAAAUACUGUGUAAAGUUUUACUGCAAACUCUUCUGCUGUGUAUAAUACCUGAAGUAAGAAGCAGGAUUUUGCUGUUAAAUUCAUAAAACUUUUAUGU